GGCCCGUUGGUGUAAAUCGUAACAUUCCUGGCGAGGUAAAUCUUCGUCUGCAUGCGUGCCGCAGGAAGACAACGGUUCGAAUCCGUUACGGGCCG
rnacentral:tRNA from 1 species